GAUGAAGAACGCAGUGAAAUGCGAUAAGUAAUGUGAAUUGCAGAAUUCAGUGAAUCAUCGAAUCUUUGAACGCACAUUGCGCCCAUUAGCAUUCUAGUGGGCAUGCCUGUUCGAGCGUCAUUUCAACCCUUAAGCCCUGUUGCUUAGCGUUGGGAGCCUACAGUACUGUAGCUCCCCAAAGUUAGUGGCGGAGUCGGUUUCACACUCUAGACGUAGUAAAUUUUUCUCGUCUGUAGUUGAGCCGGUCCCCUGCCGUAAAACACCCAAUUUAUCAAGGUUGACCUCGGAUCAGGUAGGAAUACCCGCUGAACUUAGGCAUAUCAAUAAGCGGAGGA
rnacentral:misc_RNA from 1 species